rnacentral:lncRNA from 1 species
CAAAAAUUUAACUGUGGCAGAAUUUUUCAAUGCGAUGGCUCCGCUAGCUCACCUUCGUGACUGAGCAUUUUUCUUCGGUCAACCUGUAGAAAACAAAACGUUGAACACAGUAGUCAAAAAAUUACAUAAAACGGGAAACGAAAAAGGGUUCAUCGGAGGUGAUUUUUAAUUUUUUUCGUGGCAGUGCUGUCGGGCUUUACCCACGGUUUUCGGCUCAUCCGCUGUUUCUUUUGCUCCAAUUUAUCUAUGGGGUGUUCAAAGUCAAAUUCCGAGCGAAUAAGAGAAUUUUUACCUUUUUUGGCAGUCAGAGGUGGCUCCAGCGCGGCAGCGGGCCGCGGUCGGCUCCCUUCUCCAACGACUGGUUCUUCUUCUCCGGCGGAGGACUGGCGACUAGGAUUUGGGUUCGGUAUGAAGUGAGAUAUUUAUAUCCGUCUCUCUUAAAUCUAGACCGUUCAUCGCGUUUGAUCUCGACCGUCCGAUUCCGUUUAAGGAGGAAAUAAAUUUGGAUCGUUCAUUGCGAUUUGAUCUCAACCAUAUGAUCAUGUUUAAAGAAGAAAUGAAUCUAGAUCAUUCAUCGCGUUUAAUCGUGACCGUCUGAUCGUGUCUAAGAAGAGAACGGAUCCGGACUGUCCACUUGCACGGGAACGCAUCUGGACUGUCCGAUCGCGUCUACGCAGAUUACCAGCGUGGCCCCCAGCGUAGCAUCGAGUCAACGUGCCUUUCCACGCGGUGCGCUACGGUUCGUCAGGGCUGCUGACUUGGCGCUAUAAGUGGCACAUUUUUUUUAAUUGCGUUUUGACCCAUAAUUUUUAAUUUUUCUUU